UGCCAGACUCCUACGGGAGGCAGCAGUGGGGAAUAUUGCACAAUGGGGGAAACCCUGAUGCAGCGACGCCGCGUGAGUGAAGAAGUAUUUCGGUAUGUAAAGCUCUAUCAGCAGGGAAGAAAAUGACGGUACCUGACUAAGAAGCCCCGGCUAACUACGUGCCAGCAGCCGCGGUAAUACGUAGGGGGCAAGCGUUAUCCGGAUUUACUGGGUGUAAAGGGAGCGUAGACGGCAUGGCAAGUCAGAUGUGAAAGCCCGGGGCUCAACCCCGGGACUGCAUUUGAAACUGUCAGGCUGGAGUGCAGGAGAGGUAAGUGGAAUUCCUAGUGUAGCGGUGAAAUGCGUAGAUAUUAGGAGGAACACCAGUGGCGAAGGCGGCCUGCUGGACGAUGACUGACGUUGAGGCUCGAAAGCGUGGGGAGCAAACAGGAUUAGAUACCCUAGUA
rnacentral:rRNA from 1 species